GCAGUCGUGGCCAACUGGUUAGGGCUUUGGGCUUGUAACCGGAGGGUUGCUGGUUCGAUCCCCGACCAGUAGGA
rnacentral:tRNA from 1 species